rnacentral:rRNA from 1 species
CCAGCUCCAAUAGCGUAUAUUUAAGUUGUUGCAGUUAAAAAGCUCGUAGUUGGAUUUUGGGUUGGAGCGGUCGGUCUGCCUCUUUGGUUGAACUGGCCUCUCCAUCCUUCUUGCCGGGGACGCGUUCUGGCCUUCGUUGGCUGGGAGGUGGAUUCGGCGAUGUUACUUUGAAAAAAUUAGAGUGUUCAAAGCAGGCCUUUGCUCUGAAUACAUUAGCAUGGAAUAACGCGAUAGGACUCUGGUUCUAUUGUGUUGGUCUUCGGGACCGGAGUAAUGAUUAAGAGGGACAGUUGGGGGCAUUCGUAUUUCAUUGUCAGAGGUGAAAUUCUUGGAUUUAUGAAAGACGAACUUCUGCGAAAGCAUUUGCCAAGGAUGUUUUCA